ACCUGGCUGUUGGCUAGAAAAGGGUAUCUCAAACACAGCAGUGCUGGGGAAGGACAGGCAGAGCUGGGGAGCUCUGGCCAGGCGAGUCCCAGCUAAAAGGGCCUGUGGAGGUACUGAAGGUGCAGCCAGGCCAGGAAAAGGCAGCAGGUCCAAACCCCCUUGCCAAUGAUGAGCGGCCAUUUCAGACUACAGUUUGCCCCUGAGAAAAGGGGCUAGAUGAAACCUCGGUCACUGAGGCAAGGUGGGCUUUGGGGAAUUGGGGUUCCCCGGGAAGGGGAGGAUUCCAUAGUGUGGGGACACUGCUGCAGGGCAGUACCCCAGAGAAGGGGCACCGCGGGCCAGGACGGAUGUGUGGCCUGAACUAAAGGGUGGUACUAGAAAAAGGGAGAAGCAGGCAGCAGCAAGGGAGACACUGGCCAGCAGGAGGCGCUCAGAAGCUGGAAGAGCUAAUUUCCAGACCAACCAGCAGGAGGCACCACACCAGUGAGUGCUCCAGCGGGCUACAAGUUCCAAGAGGUAUUCUGUGUCAAAGAAAGCAUAAAGGUUCUGUUAGGAGACGCACACAAGUAAACAUUGGAGGACAGCUGAAAGCAGGAAAGAAGGACAGGACUAUGUUAUAAAGCGCCUUGAAGGCAAGAGAAGCAGUUUUCUGCUUAAACCUGGGCCCACCUAUGAAGGAAGAAGAAAUGGGGCUAAGCUGUUAGCAUUUGGACUGGGAUGAGAGAGGUCAAAUGAGCACAACCCCCUUGUGUCAGAAUAGGGAGGCCAGUAUGGAUUGAAUUUCAAAGAAGCUUUAAAAAGCCAGCAGAUGGCACCUAAAUGCAAGCAGCCAAGUCCUGGAGGAUCAACGGCCUAGAGGGGGAAGAAGCCAGAGGAUUCCAUGACAGCAAGGAGGAACCAGGGGGGCAGCAGUGUGUGUGCACGCAUGGGGCCUCUGUGGAAAGAAGACUGUUUUUUCCCUGAGUGCGGGUGUGCGUGAGCCCAGGGAAAAGGACCGGGAUGAACACUGCUAGCCUGGGACUUGUGGUAAGCACUUUGAUCUGAGGAUUGCAUGUGUCCCAACGGCAGAUGAGGGCCAAGAAGCUGAGGAACAGCACCCCACCAGGCUGGAGGUCCAGAAUGAGCAGUCACCAAAGGAGCAAUGAACUUCAGCAGCCUAGCGCAGCACUGUUUUAUGUGUACCUCUGGUGGCGUUAA